ensembl:lncRNA
GCAAAAGUCAGAUGUGUUUUGUAUUCAUACCAUCAGUGUGCAGUUGGCGCAUUGUGUGCUUAGUAGAUGAUGGCUUGUGUGUACUGUUUGAUACGGAAACACCAUUUUUACGAAGGUGUGAAGAGUUAAUCUAGCUGUGUUUGCUUUUGCAAGAGAACUACAAUGUUUUGAUGAUUGGGUGACAGGUUUUCUUAUUUGUGUGAAGAGUUUUGCAAAAUUAGCCAAUGGUUACAAAAAAUGUGCUUAAGCAAUCAGAAAAAACUGUAAUACUAGUCUAUUUUCCAGCUGCUCUGAAAAGUGUAAUAACUAAAACCAUAAACCAUAGUAUGAUGCAAUACUGCAGCGCUAGCAGUUAGUUAUGGCACAUGUACAACGCUACACGUACACGGCAAUUUUGGAUCACUAAAAACCGAGAUUUUGAAUACAUUUAUGAUUUAAAUUCAAAUUUCUGUUUUCAGAAAAGGAAAGGUGGGAUUUUUUUUGUCUUUCUUUGCCAAAGGUGUGCUUUUUCCCCUCCUUUUUUUUGAAGUGUGUGAUGUGUUUUAACCACAUCUUCUGUUGAAGGGGUCCCUUUGCGCCCUGCACACCUGGAGAUAAGUAACUCACCUCACUCACUCACCAUAGGGAGGAAAUCCCUCAUUUAACACCUGAUCAUUCCAGGUCCAAUCCUCUCCGAUUUCCAUGAUUUUCUUUUUCUUUAUUUUCUACCUGUUGGAGCUUUUUAUUUUUAUUAUUUUGAAAUUUUGAUGUUGGCUUACUUAUAUUUUGGGGUUAUUUACAAUUUUUUUUGAUUCAGUAAAAAGGACUAGACUUGUUAUUUCUCUUCUUCAUUCUUCUGUUAAGUUUCCUACAGUUUAAUUUUCUAUUCACUGCAACUGAGAAAUAAUACUUACCUCUUUAGCAUUUAUGGAGCCUAACUCCUUCAAAAGGAUAGAAAAGGUUGAUAGAAAUAAGUAAGACAAAGGGGACAAGAUAGGAGAGAGCAGAGAGAAGAGCCGGAAGGGGGGCGCCCGAUCUGGCUUUCCACACCUCCCUGAUCCGGCGGGGUUCUUUUUUUCCCUUCUUUUUUUUUUUUUGGCUGUUUAUCUUGUUAAGUCAGCCAGGAAGAAAUGUAGGGCCAUUUUUUAUAAGUAAAGGGACUGGUGUAGGACCAGUAUGCACUGGGGUGGGUCUAUGUUGUUUGUUUUUUUUACCAGAACAGCAGAAGCAGCAGGAAACAAUAAAAAUUGGUCUUUUGUUUAUUGCUUGCCAAACUGGAUAAAUAAAUCAUAAAAUGCAACUUUCAAGUUUUGGACAUUGUACUUGUUUUGCCUGCGUACAAAGAAUUACAGCAGCAGUGACUUGUUGAUUUUAAAUUAUUGGAUGUUUGGUUGGACAAACAAUGGAAUCACCACUACACUACCAAUAAGAUAAGAUAAGCCUUUAUUAGGCCUGCAGUGACCAAAAGAAGCUUUUUGGUCACUGCAGAAAGUACAAGUUAAGAGCAGUAAAUAUUAAGAAAAAGAAAAAAAACAAUACAGUAGCAUAAGAUAAGAUAGAAUAACAUACUAUGCAAAAUAGAAUAAAAUAUUAUAUACAAUAGAAUAAGUACAAUACAUACAAUCUGACAGCAAAUGAAAUAAGCAGAAAUUCAGAUGUCAUUUUUUUGGUGGUAUUUUAUUGAUUAAUGAAUAAUUUGUUUGGUAUUAUUAUCUGAACAAAAAAAUACCAAAUACAACUUUCACCUCAAGGUCUCUUAUACUGCAAAGGUAAAGACCCUGCAGUGUUAGAGAAAAAACCCAGCAAAAAUCCCUUUUGACCAAGCACAAGGCAAC